rnacentral:rRNA from 1 species
AGUGAACGCUGGCGGUAGGCCUAACACAUGCAAGUCGAACGGCAGCACAGGAGAGCUUGCUCUCUGGGCGGCGAGUGGCGGACGGGUGAGGAAUACAUCGGAAUCUACUCUGUCGUGGGGGAUAACGUAGGGAAACUUACGCUAAUACCGCAUACGACCUACGGGUGAAAGCAGGGGACCUUCGGGCCUUGCGCGAUUGAAUGAGCCGAUGUCGGAUUAGCUAGUUGGCGGGGUAAAGGCCCACCAAGGCGACGAUCCGUAGCUGGUCUGAGAGGAGGAUCAGCCACACUGGAACUGAGACACGGUCCAGACUCCUACGGGAGGCAGCAGUGGGGAAUAUUGGACGAUGGGCGCAAGCCUGAUCCAGCCAUACCGCGUGGGUGAAGAAGGCCUUCGGGUUGUAAAGCCCUUUUGUUGGGAAAGAAAUCCAGCUGGCUAAUACCCGGUUGGGAUGACGGUACCCAAAGAAUAAGCACCGGCUAACUUCGUGCCAGCAGCCGCCGUAA